GCCUCCCCUCCUGAUCGUACUCCACCUGACCUGAUGCUGGUGGUUCCACACAUGCGGCAUGCUUGUAGGAUCACAAAAUAUCCUACUGGAUGAUGCACCUGCAAUGAAAAUACAUUAUGAAUAUAUAAGUGUGCAAUAACUAUACAAAAAAUAAAUAAAUAAGUAAUUGAUAUAAUGAAAUCCUACUCUCACUGGGAUCGUAUGAUGUAGAUGCCGAUGGAGCCUCAUC
rnacentral:lncRNA from 1 species